ACGAACGCUGGCGGCGUGCUUAACACAUGCAAGUCGAACGGAAAGGCCCUGCUUUUGUGGGGUGCUCGAGUGGCGAACGGGUGAGUAACACGUGAGUAACCUGCCCUUGACUUUGGGGUAACUUCAGGAAACUGGGGCUAAUACCGGAUAGGAGCUCCUGCUGCAUGGUGGGGGUUGGAAAGUUUCGGCGGUUGGGGAUGGACUCGCGGCUUAUCAGCUUGUUGGUGGGGUAGUGGCUUACCAAGGCUUUGACGGGUAGCCGGCCUGAGAGGGUGACCGGCCACAUUGGGACUGAGAUACGGCCCAGACUCCUGCGGGAGGCAGCAGUGGGGAAUAUUGCACAAUGGGCGGAAGCCUGAUGCAGCAACGCCGCGUGCGGGAUGACGGCCUUCGGGUUGUAAACCGCUUUCGCCUGUGACGAAGCGUGAGUGACGGUAAUGGGUAAAGAAGCACCGGCUAACUACGUG
rnacentral:rRNA from 1 species